GAGGAAUAUUGGGCAAUGCCCGCAAGGGUGACCCAGCAACGCCGCGUGGAGGAUGAAUGUCGUAAGAUUGUAAACUCCUGUUAGAGGGGAAGAAUAGUACCGGUUGGACCGGUAUAUGACUGUACCCUCAGAGAAAGCCCCGGCUAACUACGUGCCAGCAGCCGCGGUAAUACGUAGGGGGCAAGCGUUGUCCGGAUUUACUGGGUGUAAAGGGCGCGCAGGCGGGAUAAAAAGUCAGUGGUGAAAUCCUACAGCUUAACUGUAGAACUGCCUUUGAUACUUUUGUUCUUGAGUUCGGGAGAGAGAGACGGAAUUCCAGGUGUAGUGGUGAAAUACGUAGAUAUCUGGAAGAACACCAGUUGCGAAGGCGGUCUCUUGGUCCGACACUGACGCUGAGGCGCGAAAGCGUGGGGAG
rnacentral:rRNA from 1 species